UGCGCCGCCACGGGGUGCGCCAACCAUCACUGAGUUUUGAUGGUAAGGCACUGAGAUCCAUUGGAAACCCGUUGAACCUGAUCCGGAUAGUACCGGCGUAGGGAUGGUGUUGGUCCAACAG
rnacentral:ncRNA from 1 species